rnacentral:rRNA from 1 species
UACGUAGGAGACGAGCGUUGUCCGGAGUUACUGGGCGUAAAGGGUGCGCAGGCGGCUUUGCGCGUCGCGAGUGAAAUCUCCCGGCUCAACUGGGAGGGUGGUCGCGAGACGGCAGGGCUUGAGGCUCGGUGAGGGGCGUGGAAUUCCGGGUGGAGCGGUGAAAUGCGUAGAGAUCCGGAGGAACACCGACGGCGUAGGCAGCGCCCUAGACGAGACCUGACGCUCAGGCACGAAAGCGCGGGGAGCGAACAGG